rnacentral:rRNA from 1 species
UACGUAGGGCGCGAGCGUUGUCCGGAUUUAUUGGGCGUAAAGAGCUCGUAGGCGGCUUGUCGCGUCGUCCGUGAAAACUCACAGCUCAACUGUGAGCUUGCGGUCGAUACGGGCAGGCUAGAGUUCGGUAGGGGGAGACUGGAAUUCCUGGUGUAGCGGUGAAAUGCGCAGAUAUCAGGAGGAACACCGGUGGCGAAGGCGGGUCUCUGGGCCGGAUAACUGACCGCUGGAGGAGCGAAAAGCGUU